rnacentral:lncRNA from 1 species
GGACCAUCUGAAAGGUCAGCAUUGGUCAGCAUGCUCAGAGCGGGGAGGACAGACCUGAAGCUCAAGCUCAAGCUCAUUGGUGGUUUGCAUUUGCUGUCUGUGUGAUUAUUUGGGAGCUGUCCUUCCUGGUGCUGCUGUGUGUCCUGGAUGCAGAAAAAGAGGCCAGGGAAGUGGCCAUACUGCUCUGGGCACCCAGUGUGGGGCUGGUGCUGGGGGCAGGUGGAGUCGGCCUCUUCCACAUGCAGGUGCCAAAGGCUUAUGUUGGGCCCAGGCUGAAUUCCAUCAUGUCCU